UUGACAUCGCAUGUAAUCGGAUAGAGAACUUAUUCUUAAACUUUCUUCAAUUGUAAUUCACAUAGAGAUAUAGUGGGUUAGUUGAUUAAGGUGUUUAACGGAUUUCUAUCUUAAUUGUGGAUUGACGUUAAUACGGUAUUAGUGCAUCGAGAGGUGGUUAAUACUACUUUCGUGUUCUGGAUUAGUAAACUGGGAUAGUGCAUUGAAUUGGAAUAAAGGUGUUAAAAUCAGAGUAAAGCUUAGGGUGAAAUCAUAAGUCUAAUUCUCCAUUAAUUGUUGAAAUUCUAGACUUUGAUAUUUGUGAUUAUUUUGUGAUUGUUUAAUUGCUAUUUAAUUUAGAAUCAUUAGUUACAAUCAUUGAGUUAAUUUGUUUAAUAAAAUUAGGGUUAAUAGGGAAUUGGUAAUUGUAAGUUAAGGUUAUUUCUAGUUAGUCUCUGUGGGAAAGAUACUCUACUUAUCACUCUAUUACUUGUUGACCACGUAUACUUGCGUGUUGUGCGUAAUUAGAUUUUACCCAACAAGUUUUUGGCGUCGUUGCCGGGGACUAUUUAGUAUAAAUCUUAAUAGUUUUACAAUAUCAGUUUAAUUAAUCCAGUUUUACUUAGACAUUUUUAUUUUUGUUUUGUGCUUCUUAUUUUCAGGUGUUGGAAGCAGUUUAUGCAAACUCGGUCCAAAAAUCCAGACUUGCUGCCUUUCGAGGACGACAUUGAAAUCUCAUAGCAUUCCAUCCUUGAAAAUUUACUUACGGAUCAAAUCCACCGCACACCCACUUUGGCCAACAAAAAUGAGCAUAUUUCACACACAAGUGGGGCCCACUCAAUUAGAAAAAUCCUCUAAUAAAUAUUUUACACAUUUUAAUCCUUAAAAAUACCAUUCAGACCCAUUUUGUACUCUUCCUCCUCAUUUUAUUCAUAUACCGU
rnacentral:lncRNA from 1 species